AACUGCCAUAGCUCCGAGCUCUGCCUGCUAAGUUGCCUGUUUGGGAUAUGCGUGCUGAGCCAGUGACGUUGAGUCACCAGGGUCGAUGUAGAAAUGCCUCGGCCUCCCGUACUUGGAAAGGUGUUCCGUGGCGAAACCA
rnacentral:ncRNA from 2 species